rnacentral:rRNA from 1 species
GACGAACGCUGGCGGCGUGCUUAACACAUGCAAGUCGAACGAUGAACUUGGAGCUUGCUCUGGGGGAUUAGUGGCGAACGGGUGAGUAACACGUGAGUAACCUGCCCUGGACUCUGGGAUAACUUCGAGAAAUCGGAGCUAAUACCGGAUAGGACCUUGCCCCGCAUGGUGAGGGGUGGAAAGUUUUUCGGUUUGGGAUGGACUCGCGGCCUAUCAGCUUGUUGGUGAGGUAAUGGCUCACCAAGGCGUCGACGGGUAGCCGGCCUGAGAGGGUGACCGGCCACACUGGGACUGAGACACGGCCCAGACUCCUACGGGAGGCAGCAGUGGGGAAUAUUGCACAAUGGGCGCAAGCCUGAUGCAGCAACGCCGCGUGCGGGAUGACGGCCUUCGGGUUGUAAACCGCUUUUAGUAGGGAAGAAGCCUUCGGGUGACGGUACCUGCAGAAAAAGGACCGGCUAACUACGUGCCAGCCGCCGCCGUAA